CAAGUAAUCUCAAUGACGUUUGUGAUUUCAAUUGUCAAUUAAAAAUACAAUUUAAAAAAUUUAUUUGAAACAAAUUAUUUUUGUACUUAAUUAAAUAAAGUAUUAAUUAUGUCGAUACUCACUAAAACAGACGUAACGGCUGUAAAAUUAUACAAAUCUUAUAUUAUUACAGGUAUAGGAAGUAACUUAGAAGUGUACAAAAAGGAUUCUGGGAAAUUUAUACGUAAACUAACAGCGUUACGAGGACAAAAAAUAUAUGGUAUUGUUCCAUCACAUUGUCAUACCAAGCUGUUUAUUUUCGGCAGUAAACAGUAUAACACAUUAAGAAUACAAGAUCUGACGGCUGAUGGAGAAGAAGACUUAGUUAUCGACUGUGAUGCGGACGCAAUAGUUUGUGAUGAUUGGAUACUGUCAGCAGUUUGGCUAUCAGUAAAUAAAGUUGCUAUCCUAACGGCUCAUAAUGUAGUUCAAAUUUGGAGCACUGAAAGUAUGUUGUUAGAGAAAUACUACACCUGUCCAGAUAAUUCCAUUCUCUACAGUGGGUUACUUGUACCAGUGCAAGAGGACCUCUUGGUGCUUAGUGGCACUGUGUUUUCAGAGGUCAUUGUACAGUGGUGUGGUGAUGAUAAACCUCUUCAUAAUUUAAAAGGUCAUAAGGGUGUUAUAUUCUCCAUUACUUGUGAUCUGAACAAACAGAUAAUAGUAACUACAUCAGAUGAUAGAUCACUCAGGAUUUGGAGUAUAAAAUCCACAGAAGAUUAUGAUUAUACCUGCAAAAAAUACUGGAGUAAAGCUGAAAUUGUAUGCUUGCAUGAAUUAUAUGGGCACAGUGCUAGAGUCAUGAGAAAUUGUAUCACUGCAGACUAUGUUAUUUCUAUAGGAGAAGAUGCUGGUAUUUGUUUUUGGGAUCUUCAUGGAAAGCUACUGAGGAAAGUGUUGUCACAUCAAAACGCCUGUAUUUGGGCCCUGGAUGCAAGUGAUGACUAUUUAGUAACAGGGGGAGGUGAUAGUGGUGUCAUUUUACAUCCCUUGUCACUGUUAACUAAAUAUAGCACUAGUGACAUUCUAGAUGUUAAUGUAGGUACAAUCAAAAAAGUAGAAUUUACUGCCAGAGGAAACAUGGUUAUGGUAAAUGAAAGUGAUCUAAUUUAUCAUGACUUAAAACUUAAAACAAAUGCUGUACAUAAAUUGAAUCACAAAUCUACAUAUAGAAUGCUAAGUUUGUCCUCUUGUAAACAAAUAAUAGCUGUUGUUGAUAUGAUAGGAAUAUUAGCAAUUUUUGUAGAAAAUUGUAAGGAUAAUAUGGGAAUCAAAAAUAUAAUUAAUAAAGCACUAAAAUUAGGUAAUAUACUAUCUAUGCAAUGGGCAGGUAAUAGACAUUUGGUUGUUUGUUCUGACAGUGGAGAUAUUACAGUUUUAGCUUCAAAAGAAAAUGAUAUUGAAGUUUUCGCAAGCUAUGUUCUUCCACCUUGUAAAGAAAGAUGGCUAACUUCUAGUGCUUUAAGUGAUAAUAAGGAAAUACUAGUAGUUGGUGACCGCAAUGGUCGUAUACACAUUUAUAUGCGUGGAAAUAAAAAUCCCGCUAAAACAUUUGACAAAGUUCAUGGUAGAUAUGGCGCUACUACUAUAAAUAUGCGUAACAAUGAUAUAAUAACAACUGGUAGAGAUGGUAGUAUUAAAUAUUUUUCCAUAAACAAACUCACAAAUGAUGUUAAAUUCAUGAGUUCAAAAGAUCUUGAGUUCCAAUGGGUAGAAAAGUUUGUAGAUAAAAAUGGAAAUUAUAUUUGUGGUUUCCAAGAAAGAGUUUUUGUGGUGUAUGAUAUAAAAAACCAUAUUAAAGUAUUCGAGGUCAAUUGUGGCGGAGGACAUAGAUCGUGGGAUGUUACACGCUAUUUCGAAAAGACUAAUGAUAAUUAUGAGGAAUUCAUUAGAGUUGUGUACCUCAAAAACUCUACAAUACAUUUAGAGACUUUUCAACUUAGCCAAAUAGUACCACGAAAUAUUAUAAAUGGAACACAUUCCAAAGAAAUAAACUGUUUGAAGACGUAUGUAUCUUCUAAUAAUAGUAACGAAACCAUCUAUUAUAUAUCGGGUGGGGAAGACACAACUUUAAGAAUAUCUAAGUCAAAUCAAGAUUCAAAAUUUCAAGAUAAAGUUAUAUUCAAACAGUUAUCGAGUGUAAGAAGUUUGAUAACAUUGAGUUUAGAAUAUAAUAAAAUACUUUUAGUGUCAGCAGGCGGUAGGGCACAGAUUUGCAUAAAAAUAAUAUGUUUAAAUGACGAUAACAUUACUUCAGAAGAAUUAGUAGACUACCUGAUAAAAGGAACAGAUAGAGAAAGAAAAGGAAAUCGAAACUGGAAAAACUGUUCGAUCGACUUUGAUCCAGAAACAAGGAUAAUGGAUAUAAAUAUUUUACAAAUUGAUGCUAAUAACAGUAUAGUUGUUGCUGGAUGUUCUGAUGGUGUAUUACGUAUUUUUGUACUAGAGAAUAGUUCUAAAACUGUGUUUAAGACGGUAAAAGAGAUUAGACAUCACAAAACAUGUAUUUUAAAAACUCAUAUAUUCAAAUUUAUGAAUAAAGAUAUACUUGCGGUAGCCACAACGAGAGGAAAUAUUACCUUUUGGAAUAUAGAAAAAUGUAGUAUACAAUUUGAUUUGAUUUUUGAAAUGAAUACUAACAAAUCAGGGAUAAACAGUAUAGAUACAAAAGUAAUAGACAAUAACAACUUUUUAAUAGCUACAGGAGGUGAUGACAAUGCCAUACAUUUGAAUGUAUUGGAGACUAAAAAUGAUGAUUUAAAAUCAUUGAAAAUCACUCAUAAUUGGACCAGCGAUACAAACCACUGUUCUCAAAUAACUGGCUUAAAACUGGUCAGUGAUUUCAUGUUGACUGCAAGCAUUGAUCAGAGAAUCACUUUAUUUCAGUUGACCAUUGACAAUUAUAUUCACUGUGAAUUUAUUUCACAAAGCUUCAGUGACAUUUCUGAUAUACAAGGAAUAGAUAUACUUAAAUUUUCUGGCGAUUCAUUUAAAGUGUGCGUGUUUGGUAAAGGACUGGAAGUGUUACAUAUAUCGUGCAGUAAAUUGCUGAAGAGUUAACAGACAAAGCCUAAAGAUUACUUGGUGCAUUUCUAUAAAUGAAGAGUACGAGACAUCUUUUAAAUGUCAGUGACGGUGUCGGCGGUGACGUCGCCCGUGUGGCUGGGCGAGGGCCCGCACUGGUCGCACGAGCAGCAGGCGCUGUUCUUCGUCAGCAUCUUCGACAAGAGCAUACACAAGUACGACCCCGCCAGCGGCAAGCA